rnacentral:rRNA from 1 species
CCACCGCGGUUAAACGAGAGGCUCAAGUUGAUAGUCUUCGGCGUAAAGCGUGGUUAAGAAAUUAUUAAACUAAAGUCGAAUUUUCUCAUAGCUGUUUAAAGCAUCCGGGAAUAUGAAGUCCAAACACGAAAGUAGCUUUAAAUAAUCUGACCCCACGAAAGCUGUGGAACAAACUGGGAUUAGAUACCCCACUAUGCACAGCCAUAAACUUUGAUAAAAAUAUACAAUAUUAUCCGCCCGGGUACUACGAGCAUGAGCUUAAAACCCAAAGGACUUGGCGGUGCUUUAGAUCCACCUAGAGGAGCCUGUUCUAGAACCGAUAAUCCCCGUUAAACCUCACCCUCUCUAGUCAUUUCAGCCUAUAUACCGCCGUCGUCAGCCCACCCUGUGAAGGAAAUAAAGUGUGCCUAAUUGGUAGAACCCAAAACGUCAGGUCAAGGUGUAGUAUAUGAGAGGGGAAGAAAUGGGCUACAUUUCCUGCUCAAGGAAAUACGAAUUGUUUUAUGAAAUGAUUACAUGAAGGAGGAUUUAGUAGUAAGUGAUAAAUAGAGUGUCUCACUGAAUAUGGCUCUGAAGCAUGCACACACCGCCCGUCACUCUCCCCAAGCUUAAAAAAUAAAUAUUUUUCAAUAACCUAACAAAGCAAAGGGGAGGCAAGUCGUAACAUGGUAAGUG